UGCCAAAAGUUCUAAAAAUAGACCAGUAAUCCUGCAGAGCUCGACCGAGUUUAUUUCCUCAUUUCCUCGCAUAUCUUUGUAGAUAAAAGUAAAUAUAAAGUGUUGGAUUUAUCUUUGAAUAUAUAGAAACUACCGCGUUAAUUUCAUCAUGAACGCCGCAACACGUGUUUGUGUAGCAGUGAUUGUGCUUUGCCUGCUCGCACAAGCUGCCGACACUGAAGACCAGAGCGCCAGACCGAAAGACAACUUUGAUGAUAUGCACCAUUCUUCACAUCCAUCUUGGAGAGACCAGAUUAUGGUGUCUGCCGGAAGUGACGUCAGUACACAUUAUUUAUUGACUUUUGUCCUUACCGUUUUGGCAAUGGCACAUGUUGCCUUUCGCUAGUUACUGUUGUGGUUCACAAUUAAAAGGGCACAAUCCAGUCAACAGAUAGUCGUUUGAUGUAAAUUGUUUCGGGAUGAGUCGAUUUUCUUCAGGGAGCAUAAAACACUUUAUCACCAUAUAUUCUAACUUAGUUUGUAUCGUCUAAUAUGAAUAUUGUUAAAUAAAAUCAGUUUUAGAAAAGAAAA